rnacentral:siRNA from 1 species
UAAACGGUUUUGUGCGCUUGGAC